rnacentral:lncRNA from 1 species
GGCGGUAUGGGAGAGUUCCGGUGAAGAAUCGACGACGGUGGCGGAAUCGACUAAGGCGAGUUGAAACGUCGGGUUUUUUUUUGGACAAAAUUUCAGUUUUUUUUAAAUACAAUUAACUAAAGAAAAAUAAAGACAAAGAAAAGAAAAUAUAUGAGGGUAUUAUCGGAAUAGUACAUUUGUUUUAAUGAAAAGGGGGUAUGUAGACUAAAGAAGGAGAUAAGAGAUUAGAAUUUUGAAAAAGGAUAUGAGAGAUGAUUACUCGUUUUGGAAUGAUACAUUU